CAGGGCGGUGUCUUCGAUGUCCGUGUUCGGCCCGGUCCCGGGCAUCAGGGACAAGCUGACGGAGGACGCCGGCGCCGUUGCCGGGAACCUACCUGUCGCCAUGGCAACGGAGAAGCACGAAGAGGAGGAGGAGGAGGCGGCGGGGGACGUGCUGACCGUGCAGGAAGUGGGCGCCGCCGCCGCCGCGCAAUAAACAUGUGCCGGGGGAA